CGACCGGCCGGCCCCUCCGGCGACCGCCCCCUACCGCUCCGGUGGUCGUCCCCUGCCCCGACCGGCCGCCCCCUGUUCCGUUGGUCGCCCCCUCAUCCGUAGAGGAUUUCUGGUGUUGCCUCCGGUGGAGUGAUCAUUGACGUUGGAGCUCUUGGUCUUUGAUUGUCCCUUCGCUGAUCGACUACAUCAUCUACAUCCGAGGGUUUAAUAAUCAUGGGCAAGUCCAGCGGCGCUAGUUUCCUCAGUAAAUUUAAAGGACUUACUCGGAGUGGACGAGCCCACAAGGUUCCCUCCCGACUACGUGAGGAUGACACCUCACAGGGAGGUGGAGGGGUCGGGGGAGGAGACCCUAGAGGAGGAGGCGGUGGGGGGAGAGCCCCUAGAGGAGGAGGCGGUGGGGGGAGAGCCCCUAGAGGAGGAGGAGGUGGGGGGAGAGGCAACCGGGGCAAAAAACUCCGGGCCGUGUCUGAAAUAGGAGGGUCUUCUUCGAUGCCCUCCUAUACAGAGG